UUGUGUUUAUUCCGGAAUUGUGACAGUCAGGCAAAGCCCUCCUGAUAGUCAUAGCUCAUAGCUGAUCUACCAUAUAUAUGAAUAUCAGUCUGAAAUCAUUAGUUUGGUACGGAGUGCAACCGCGGUCGUGUUCACAGACGAUGAAAACUUUCGGAGACGUCGAUAGGUGUCGACAGCGAAGCCUGGCUGCUGAAGGCCUUUUAGAAACCUGUUCAAGCAGAAAAGGUGAACGGUCGAAUUUGAUUUACCAGCAUGAUUGUUUACACGUGGCUGCCUGACCCCUAGAUGCAAAAGGGGAUCCGUACGACUUUUUACGUUUUCCGCUCUUGGGGAUGCAUAAAAGCCCAUCGUCCAGAUCUCAAAAUCUUGGUUUUAGUGCCCAAAAAUUGAGUUUUGUGUCUCUUGAUUUAUCUAUCUGGUAAUCAGCUCUCUUAUGUACGGAACCCCCGACAGACCCAUGCCCAAGUCCCAUACGAUUGCUCGGUGCGGAGUCAACGCGGCCGACUUCAAGCAGUCCUGCUGAUUCAAAUCAAAAAAAUAACUAUGUAUGUCAAGUUCACGUCGGAGCUUGACUUGUUGCGGUUUGUACAGUUAGCCAGCCAGAGUCAAACCUAGUCAAACUGCUUCCGUCCUUCCCUGCGUUUGGGCCAAACGAAGUAAACACCCGUCAAGAUGCACAGGCAUACAAAUCUUACUUUUCAUAAAGCACGCUUGACGGUCGAGAAGUUCUUUUUCCCAGCCCGUUGCCCUAUGCCACGUUGUAGUUGACUGCCGAGUUGCGCGCGAGUCCUUUCCUUCUUCACCCGCCUGCUCUUCGUUCAUCGUGCAGGUAACACCGAAUACCGCAACUGAGCGGCCUUGCAACAGCCUGAGGUGCUCAACCGAGACCACGUUUUGGAGACAAGGGCCUUCAUUCGGGCCUUAACAGUUGUCAGCUAAGGCGGUUCCACGAUGGCGGCCGGCCGCGAUACGCACCGUGCCGCCCAGGUUGCCGCAGCCUCUGCCAUGC
rnacentral:lncRNA from 1 species